GGGGCGGUGGCGUAGUUGGGAGCGCGUCAGACUGAAGAUCUGAAGGUCACCGGUUCGAUCCCGGUUCACCCCA
rnacentral:tRNA from 1 species